AUCAGCUGUGGGGGAGCCAAGCAGGAGGGGAUCGAGUCUGCCUGAUCACCCCCCGGUGGCCUCUCGUUUCUUCAGCCUGCUUCUCAGUGACAGGCUCCACGCCUGGGGGUGGGGACCAGCACCGGGGUCCCUGACCUCAGGGCUCAGGAGGAAGCACAGCAGUUAAGGUUCAGAUCUUGGUUCUGCAUCUUAGCUUUUCUGGGCCUCGAUGACUUUGAACUGUGAAAUGGGAUGACAGUAUUACCGCUUCGUACGUCCUUAUGAGACGGUGUCAUUAGGGAGGUUAGCCCAAAGUCGGGCGCGUAGUAAGAGUUCAGUACAGGUUAGCUUUGAUCAUGUUUAGUUGGAGGACAGGGACAACCAGAUCUCCCCAGAGAUCCGAGAGACCUUCCUGGAGGAGGCGGCAUGGCAGAAGAAUGAGCAGGGGAUACACGGGGAAAGGUGGGAGUGUUGCUGGCCAGAGGAAAAGAAGGUGCAAGAGCGGGUGGGAAGGGAGGAGAGGGAGGCAGGGCUCGGUUUGUCUCCCAGAUUCUGUUCUGAGUCCACUUCCUUGUUGGCAGCAGCCCUGUGGGCACCUGAGAACAGGCCAGCUUCCCUCUGCCCUUGCUCUCACAUCCUGCCUCAGGUUCCCAGGUGGUGGGAGCCACCCGGGUGGGCUGGGGUGGAGGCCGACUCUCAGCCUUUCUUUUGGAAUCUUCCUCUUCCAGCCCCAAAGAAAGCAAGGAGCUGAGCAAGGGGACACAGCCUCCCGGGGAAGGGGGGGGCGGUGCCGCGGCCCAAUCUGGUGCUACAGAUGUUUGCGCAGCACAGUUCUCCACCCUCGGCCCUUGCUGUGGUCGAAGUCUGGGAUGGGGGUGAACCAGCUCUGGUCCCUGCCAGUUGAAAGGGCAGAACUUGCCAGCCCUCCCUGGCGGGAAGGGGUGUUACCAGAAGGUACAAAGUGCCACCGGAAUGAGGAGACUCAACCAGGGAAGGCUUCAUGGCGGAGUGGCCUGGAGCUGAAUGUUGAAGGCAGAGGGAAGGGCAUGGACAAAGGCCUGGAGUGGGAGUCCGGGCUGCUCCCUAGGUGGGUUGUGGGGGCAGGCAGUGGAGUGGCUCACAGCGGGAGGCUGGGUUUGGCUGGGGGAAGAGAAGGAGGGGGCUGGAGCGACCAGGGACAGGGCACCUCUGAGGUUCAGGUGGGCAGUGAGGGCCGUCUCCCCCAGCCCUGUCCUGGGGCAGGUCUGCGAAGCCGUGUGUAACCUGGCACGCGACUGCCGUUUAUUGAGCACUUGCUGUGGGGGGGCCUCUCGCAUUAUGAUGGCCAUUUAACAGAACCAGGCUUUGAGGAAUUAAGCCACUUGCCUGAGGUCGCCCAGCUAGGCCUGGCAACUGUUUGAACCACAUCAGGUCCCUCAGCUACAGGGGUCAUCCCACCCCUGGCGCCUUCCCUCUCCCUGGCUAGGGCCUCGGGGGUCCAGCCUCAGCCUUGCCCUGGCCAGAGGGGGUGGGGUGAGGCGGGAGAGGCAGUCAACCCUGCUGGGCUCAGGCCCCUCUCCCACCAUUCUGAGCAGUGACUUCCACAGCCUCUGGUCUGUGCAGUGGAAGGUGCCCCAGGCCCAGCUGGCUCUGCGCACCCCCACCCUCCCUCAGGGCUGUGACCUGGCUGGGUGAUCGCUGGUCACCGGGGGCCAGGAGGCGCCUCCCAGCCUGAAGACUGGGGCUCAGUAUGGCAGUGAACCCCUGAACUAGAGCUGGGUGGGGAAGAAAGAUGAAAUAUCACAGCCCCACCCUGGAAACCCUUCUCUGAUGGGGUGGUAUCACCCCUUCCACCUCAGGAAGCCCCAGUCUGAUGGGGAGACGGGGCCCCUGCCCUGGGAGUGCCCUGUCUGAUGGAGAACGGGGUUGUGGUGGCUGAAUAAGAUGGGCUUGCAGGCUCGUGCCCCAGCACCUGGCACGUGGGAGGUGCCUGGCAAAUAAACGGUGGCUGUUGGAGCUUAUCCACCACCCAGCACAAGCCUCGGUCUGUGCAGUGGCAGGUCCUCUGGGAAGGUCAUCUCCUCCCUAGAGUGGACGGGCCAGUCUGACGGAAGGGCCAGUCUGACGGGUUCCGUUGCCGGACUGGGCCAUGCGUGCUGGGGUGGGGCCUCUGGGUGGAAGGUAGAUUUCCUUUCUCCCCUGGGCUCACACCUCUUGCUUCUUGCUGCAGGCAAGGGUAGUUAGGUGUGGCCUAACUAUCGAUUGAGAUGCUGUAUAUGAAAAUGCCUGGCCCCCGUGGUCCGCACACCUGGGGAUGGGGGUGGGGGGGGCAGGGACAGCUGGCUGGCAGGCAGGUGGCUUUCUGCAGGAAGCAGAAGGAACUACCCGACCCAGGCCCUCCCAGCCCGGGGUUCCCUUUGGUUAUUCCUCAAACCUGGGACUUUCGAAGCCACAGCUUGGACGACCUGGCCUUCAGUCCCCAAAGCUGAGAAAGCGGAGAAAUCCACAACUCGGCCCUCUCCUCACGCCUUCUCCUGGGGACCUGGCUUUUACCGGAGCCGGAUGGUGGGACCCCAGAGGUCCCUGCUAUACAGCCGGGUGCUGAGUCCCAGGUGUCCGGGCACUAACCGGACCAGGCUAGUGUCAGCCCUAUGACCGGGAGGGGGGUGGCCUUUUGCUUCCGAUUAACUCAAUUCAACUAGUAUCGACUGAUGAGUUCCUCGGCCCUGUGACAGCCCUGAGGACACAGCCACCCACCAGCACAUGUAAUUAAUAAGGACUUCCCCACCCACAGUAGACGGUAUGGGCAGAGACUUCUCUCCUGGUCACCACGGUAUCCCCGGUCACAGAAGGUGCUCAAUACAUGGUGAAUGAAUUGAGUGAGUGAAGUGAAUGCCUGAAACACUGUUCCCCAAGGGAUCCUCAGUCAGUAAAGGAGACAGGCAUGGGACCCCCAAGCACAAAACUAUUGAAUUUGUACACUUUAAAUGGUACAUUGGCAGGCAUGUGAAUCAUCACUCAAUAAAGCUCUUUGAAAAAA